UAGCCUUUCUUCAAUUCUUCCACUGCAAAUGCCUCUGCAACUGCAAUCCACCGACACUCUCCCGUGUACUCCCUGUUGCUGGCAUUGAUGCUUCCAUGACUGAUGCCCCCAAUGUGUUUGAUGAAAUUGGCACAAGAAUACUACCUUCCAGCAAGACGCUUUGUAGGUGGUCUAGAAGCAGACUCAUGGAAGCAGUACGCUGGCGCCAUUGUGGAAUUUCAGAAUACCACCUCCUGUUGAAAGAACCUCUGUACCAUAAAGCUUUGUUAGAUGAGGAGGCAACCUGAAAGCAGAAUUGUGGAAGCAGACACUGCUGUCAAAAUGGCGACUUCCAACAUCUUGCAUGGAAUCAAGCAGACAUGAUCUGGAGCACAACAAGCUCUGUGAAGAACAAUGGAGAUCUAUUCAAACACUACUAGAUUUGCACCUGUGUGCAACACCUCAUCUAAGAUUAUUGAGUUCAUUCAAAGCUCUGGAGGCUUUCCUAUCAGGACAUCCUUGGCUACCAUAUUGUCUUGGCAGUGGCUAGAGAUAGGGAUAAAAAGUACUCUUUUCAUAGUCCAAGUUCAAUCUGAUUUCUGUUGUCUCUCCUGAAAGGUUUGCAAUUUAAGUUAUCAUGAAGGUGCUCAGGAGGCCAUAGCUACAUUGACAUAAUGCUUAUUACCAAGUGCAAGCUUGAACAACAGAUAUCGUUUUGAUUGCACGAUAUAUGCACCUUCUAAUAUAUCAUACGCAGCAAUUCUGAUUC